ACGGGGACCCGCACAAGCGGUGGAUGAUGUGGAUUAAUUCGAUGCAACGCGAAGAACCUUACUACCCUUGACAUGUCCGGAACUUGCCAGAGAUGGCUUGGUGCCCGAAAGGGAAUCGGAACACAGGUGCUGCAUGGCUGUCGUCAGCUCGUGUCGUGAGAUGUUGGGUUAAGUCCCGCAACGAGCGCAACCCUUAUCAUUAGUUGCUACGCAAGGGCACUCUAAUGAGACUGCCGGUGACAAACCGGAGGAAGGUGGGGAUGACGUCAAGUCCUCAUGGCCCUUAUGGGUAGGGCUUCACACGUCAUACAAUGGUCGGUACAGAGGGUUGCCAAGCCGCGAGGCGGAGCCAAUCCCACAAAGCCGAUCGUAGUCCGGAUCGCAGUCUGCAACUCGACUGCGUGAAGUCGGAAUCGCUAGUAAUCGUGGAUCAGCAUGUCACGGUGAAUACGUUCCCGGGUCUU
rnacentral:rRNA from 1 species